GUAGGGAAUAUUGCGCAAUGGACGAAAGUCUGACGCAGCGACGCCGCGUGAGUGAUGAAGGCCUUAGGGUCGUAAAGCUCUGUUGAAUGGGAAGAAAAAAAUGACGGUACCAUUCGAGGAAGGACCGGCUAACUUCGUGCCAGCAGCCGCGGUAAUACGAGGGGUCCUAGCGUUGUUCGGAAUCAUUGGGCGUAAAGGGUGUGUAGGUGGCCAUGUAAGUCAGGUGUGAAAGCACCGGGCUCAACCCGGGAAGUGCACUUGAUACUGCGUGGCUUGAGUACCGAAGAGGGUAGUGGAAUUCCAGGUGUAGUGGUGAAAUACGUAGAUAUCUGGAGGAACACCGGUGGCGAAGGCGGCUACCUGGUCGAGUACUGACACUGAGACACGAAAGCAUGGGGAUCAAACAGGAUUAGAAACCCUUGUAGUCC
rnacentral:rRNA from 1 species